ensembl:snRNA U6 U6 spliceosomal RNA
GUACUCACUUCUGCAGCACAUAUGCUAAAAUUGGAACGAUACAAAGAAGAUUAGCAUGGCCCCUAUGCAAGGAGGACAUGCAAAUUUGUGAAGCAGUCCUUAUUUUU